rnacentral:lncRNA from 1 species
GCAACUGAGUUUACAUACCAGAUAAUGUUUUCUUCUUUUUUUAUUUUUUUGCUUGCUAGGUGCCCCAUGUAUCUUCCAAAGUGACAAUGAACAGAGUUCACUUCAGCUUUUUACCACAAAGUUCAUGAUAAUAUGGAAAUCCCACCAACCACAAGGAUCUGCAGAACCUGUAAAUGGGGAUAUAUGAACAAGCUUCUACCAGCCAGGUGGUUGGACUGAAGUCAGUUUCUCUCUGCCUUAAUUAUGGGAGAAUAUGCUUUAAUCAAAACCAGUUAUAAUGAUGCCUGCUAAGAAAAGUAACUGAUCAUACCUUCUUUCUGAAAGAACAUAGCACUUCUGCACAUCAUGAAAGAGGAAUCAAUCCUCUUUGGAUUAACCCUUAGCUCAAGCUCCAAGCACCAAGAUAAGGUCUGUAGCUGGCACCAUUGAGUCUACAAGUUAUCAAGAAAUGUUGAUGAACCACUAUACUCCCUCUACUGAUUAACUGCCCUAACUCCUUUAAAAACCCCUGGGCCAGACAGAAACCUUGGAGUUGGCCUUUAGACAAGAGUUCACCUUCUCCCCAGAUGAUCAGUCUCCUGAAUAAAGCUAUUAUUCCUUUCCAUUCAAAACUCAUCUCUUGAGUAUUGACUUGUUGAGUGAUGGGCAGCCAAACUUGGGUAUCAGUAACAAAUUUUGGUGAGCCAACCAGGAGGCAAUGCUACUGUGGCAUUCAGUUCCCCUGAGAAUUUCAAGAAGGCCCAAGCUAGGAACUUGGAUGGCCACAGGAAGUUAGCUGCCAGGGAUUUGUUGGUGUCGGGGAGGAAAUCUGGAGGAUCUGUCCCUAUAGCAGCCAAG